rnacentral:misc_RNA from 1 species
GUGAAUCAUCAAAUCUUUGAACGCAAAUUGCACUUUCUGGUAUUCCGGAAAGUAUGCCUGUUUGAGGGUCAGUUAAUUAAAAAUUGGUGUUGUUCCUGUUUUUCUUGGUGCGGGGUCGGAAUGUAGUUGUUUUACCUUCGUUUAAGUGCCUUAAAAUUUUCCAUGAUUUUCAAACGUAUUUAAAUUUCUUACGUACGUUUGGGUUAUCGAUUAUUUUAUUAGUUUCGGUCAUCUUCAU